UGGACAGAUUAUUGUAUUCGAUUGUAUUCACGGUGUGAAACAGGGGAUUGCACUAUUUUUAAACGGAAAGUGAAUCAAUUAACAUAAUAGACUCCU
rfam:Nicotiana sylvestris Nsyl_contig121320, whole genome shotgun sequence.